UACGUAGGUGGCAAGCGUUGUCCGGAUUUAUUGGGUUUAAAGGGUGCGUAGGCGUCCCAUCAAGUUUCUGGUGAAAUCCUCGAGCUCAACUCGAGAACUGCCGGGAAAACUGUUGGGAUUGAGUAUAGUUGAGGUAGGCGGAAUUCAUGGUGUAGCGGUGAAAUGCAUAGAUACCAUGAAGAACACCAAUAGCGUAGGCAGCUUACUAAACUAUAACUGACGCUGAGGCACGAAAGCGUGGGGAGCGAACAGG
rnacentral:misc_RNA from 1 species